UACGUAGGGGGCUAGCGUUGUCCGGAAUCAUUGGGCGUAAAGCGCGCGUAGGCGGCCAGAUAAGUCCGGUGUGAAAGUCAAAGGCUCAACCUUUGAAUGCCGCUGGAAACUGUCUGGCUUGAGUCCGGAAGGGGCGAGUGGAAUUCCUGGUGUAGCGGUGAAAUGCGCAGAUAUCAGGAGGAACACCAAUUGCGAAGGCAGCUCGCUGGACCGUAACUGACGCUGAGACGCGAAAGCUAGGGGAGCAAACGGG
rnacentral:rRNA from 1 species